UCUGAGUGGUGAGUGCUUCAUCCCAUAUGUAGCAGAAUUCCAAAGUUUCUCAAUCAAGUGAUAAAGUACUACCAGCCCUUACUUAUUUAAAUGCUGAUAAUAUAUUUCACAGAUAACCAACUGUUAACUCAUUGCACCUGUUCGCUUGUGGUUGGGUUUAUCUGCUCAUAUAUAGAAAGUCCUGUUGUUCUAAGUCACACCGGAUUUGAGUCUGUCAAUUCCUCUUCAUGUAAAUGACCCUUUCCUGGAACAGCAAAGCAUUUAUGUCAAUGAGUGAUUGAAGUAUGUGCUUCUCUACACUUAGAAACACUGCUGUGGGUAACUGUAAGAGGUAGUCUAAGCAAGAAAUUUUCAUUACACGCAGUAAUCAGAUUCACUGAAAAUUGUUUUUUUAAGGUCAAAACUUGGACUGGGAGUCCUGUUGCAGAGCAUCAGCAGAGAUUGUCUGCAGUAUAAAUAUCGAAGAGCCUAGUUCCAAUAAAUCUGCAUGGCAGCCCAAAUUCUUCAGAAGCCCUAAGAAGCAGCCAGCCCAAUGACAGAAUACAAAACUGUGUGCUUCACUACCUGGCAUGUGGAAACUCCAGUUGUUCCCAUCCAGGAGAUCAGCAGAUGCAAAUACAAGCAAUUGAGACCAAGAGAAAUACUUCUGUUCACGUCAUCGACAUCUGACAGGACAUGACAAGUUCUUCUACCACCAUUCCAGCAGAACUCAAGAAGGUUUUUCUUUAUUGUAUAUUGAAACACAAGGGUACUACCUCAGUGCUGCAAGGUAGUAUACAUCCUGUACUGGCCCGUGACAAUGCAAAAAGGAUCCAACGGCAUUGAGCUCCUGCAGUGGUGAGGCAAAAACCGUGGAGCAAAGAUGGAGAACUAGAGCAUCUCCACUUCUACCUGUGAGUGAACAAGCAGCUCUGAAGGUCCUACAAGGUGAGUUUGCAUAUUAAGCUGAGAAGUGACGGUGAGCAUGCUUAUCCAUUUUAGAACUGUUGUACAGCUUUGUGAUCACCAAAAAAGGCACAGCCUCAGCAGGGAUCCUGUCACAUCAUCACAUGCAAGCAGGACAAAACAAUUAUAAAGCCCAGGACAAUAGAAGAAGAUCAGUUUCGAGAACACCUGAGGAUCCAUGGGACCUGAUGAGAUGCGUCCCAGAGUCCUGAGGGAAUUGGCAGAUGUGGUUGCCAAACCACUCUCCAUGAUAUUUGAAAAGUCCUGGCAGCCAGGAGAAGUCCCUGGUGACUGGAAGAAGGGUAACAUUGUGCCAAUUUUUAAAAAGGGUAGAAAAGAACCCUGGGAACUACCGACCUGUCAGCCUCAACUCUGUGCCUGGGAAGAUCAUGGAACAGAUCCUCCAAGAAGCUAUGUUAAAACACAUGGAGGGCAGGGAGGUGAUUAAUGGCAGCCAGUAUGGCUUCACCCGGGGCAAGUCCUGUCUGACCAACUUGGUGGCUUUCCAUGAUGGGGUAACCACAGCAGUGAACACGGGUAAACCGAUGGAUGUGAUCUGUGUAGACUUCUGUAAAUCCUUCGACACAGUCUGCCACAACAUCCUUCUUUCUGAAUUGGAGAGAUAUGGAUUUGAUGGGUGGACAGUGAAGCUAAGUGUAAGGUCCUACACCUGGGUCAGAGCAAUCCCAGUUUUCAGUACAGGAUGGGGGAUGACAUGCUUGAGAACAGCCCUGCAGAGAAGGACUUGGGAAUACUGGUUAAUGAGAAGCUUGGCAUGAGCCGGCAAUAUGCACUCGCAGCCCAGAAGACCAACUGUAUCCUGGGCAACAUCAAAAGAAGUGUGGCCAGCAAGUCGAGGGGAUUCUGCCACUCUAUUCCUCUCUUGUGAGACCUCAUCUGGGAUACUGUGUCCAGUUCUGGAAUCCUCAACAUAAGAAGGAUAUGGAGGUGUUGGAAUAGGUCCAGAGGAGGGCUACAAAAAUGAUUGGAGGGCUGGAGCCCCUUCCCUACAAGGCCAGGCUCAGAGAGUUGGGAUUGUUCAGCCUGGAGAAGAGAAAGUUCAGAGGAGAUCUUAUGGCAACCUUCCAGUACCCAAAGGGGGCCUACAGAAAAGCUGAGGAGGGGCUAUUCAUAAAGGCUUAUAGGGAUAGGAUGAGCGGGAAUGGGUAUAAACUAGAGAGGGGCAGAUUUAGGCUGGACGUCAGGAAGAAUUUCUUCAUUGUGAGAGUGGUGAGGCACUGGCACAGGUUUCCCAGGGAGGUUGUGGAUGUCCCAUCCCUGGAGGUGUUCAAGGCCAGGUUGGAUGGGGCCUUGGGCAGCCUGAUCCAGUGGGAUGUCCCUGACCAUGGCAGGGGGGUUGUAACUAGAUGAUCUUUAAGGUCCCUUCCAAGCCAAACUAUUCUAUGAUUCUAUGAAUUUAGGUCUUGGGAUUUGGGAAGCGUCUGGAUGAAGCUGGAUGUUCGUAGCUGUAUCCUAGCAUAACCUCCAAUUAAGGGUGCUGGAGAGACCUUCCCUGAGCCUGUAAGCACCAAGGCUGCAAUUGCAUGCAUGACGUCACUUUGAAAAGCUUUCAGUCAGUGGGAUUUUGUGGAGACUUAAUUCCCUAAACCCUUUUUACCUCAUGUGUAGAAACUUGACUGCACUUCAGAAACAAACCCUUCAAAAAGAUGCACAUUUUUGUGUGUACAGCAAAUUUGAAUCAUUUGACUUUUCUUAUAGCUCCUGGGCAGCUCUAAGAACAGGCUUUUGAGAUGAUAUGCAGUCAUAGAGAUGAAAGGCUCCCUUCAUUUCCUGUUUGAAGGUAUCCUCAAGGGAACAAACACCUUCCAACUGAAAGAAAAUAAUGUCAGCACCUUGACUUUCUGCACUUCACAAGAAGAAUAAGUGCAUAGCAGCUUGAUCCAACAUCAAAGAUGAUUUACCAGAGUCAUUACUCACCAUCAUAUUUCUGAUGAAUAUGAAGAACUGCGUUGAAAUCAAAGGAAGGUGCACUUUGUGUUCCUGUGGCAACAGUUUCCUCUGCUAUGCCUGCCAAAACUCUCACCUCUGUUUGCCAGCCAGGUGACUGGAGGCGUAACUAUUUACCUGUACAUGAAAGCUUUCUCUGUUCAUGUGGUCAUUGCAUCUACCACCACUUGGCCUCAACUGCAGAAACUUCUUCAGCUGAUACAGUAAACACCUACUUUUACGGCCUUCUGUCAACUUCAGCUCUGGAAGCAGUGCAGAAGUGAAUAUGGGUGAAUGUGUUUUACAAAAGUCUUUAAGAUGCCUUUUGACUCAAUUUCUCUGUCUUAGAAAUCUUCCCCAAACAGCAUUCUGUGUUGGCUUACCCCAUAAACCUCAUGGAUGACCUCACAUCCAAAAUGUAGAAUGAAAGCUACAAGGUGUUUCUUUGCCAGUACCGGUGUCUCUGAGAGUGUCUUACACGGUGUUGAUCUCACUGUUGCCAGUUCAUAUAUGUGAUGUAAAAAUCCUCUACCUCAACAGCAGAUUUUGCCAUUUGUCUUUGUGCUGCUACAAAGCGAAGGAAAUUAAAUUCUUCAUGAUGAGAAGAGUUAAGCACUGGAACUAGUUUUGCAGAAUGGCUGCGGAUCUAGAUCCUUUGAGAUUUUACACAAUAAGUCCCUCGGCAAUCCAAUUUAACUUUGCAGUUAGACCUGCUCUGAGGAGCAGGCUGCACUAAGUGCCACCCAAAUGCCCCCUCCAAGCUAGAUUGUUCUAUGAUUCCAAUUUUUGAAGCAGUAUUUGCCAACUGAAGUUUGCAAGUGUGAUUCCUGCUAUGCAAGAGGAGCAAAGUAUUAAUUUUAGCAUGCGGUAUUCUUCACAUGAUAUUCACUGUGACCUCAGUAUUUCUUUGCUGCUUCAGUACUAUCCCAAAUAACAAUCAUCAGAGUUAGGCAGUUUUAAUAGGCCCAAAUAUCUCUGAAACUCAAAGGAACCCAACCACACAGUGACAAUUACAGCAAGUAAAGUUGCCAUCAAAACUCACUUUUGUAAAAUUUUGCAAGAAUUAUUUAAUCCUAAGAAAGUUCAAGAAAAGGGCUGCUAGCCACAGCCUGUAAGGAGUGAACUCUUAACUGUCUGAAGGAGCGUGAAGUUCUCCAUAGAAAAUGGAAAUUUCUAACUUUGGAAUGCAGUUACAUUUAUGAAGAAAUGAAAAUAAUGUAGUUCAGUCCUUGUAAUUGCUUAGAUCCAUUUUUGUGCAUAGUGAGAAAAUAAUUUUGUGACACUAAAUGUGAUUGUCUGAGAAUAGGGUACAUUUUUUUCCACAAGCAGUAGCUAACAGUGUAGCCAUGUUUAAUGGAAGCCAGAACCCAUAGGAAACAGUGUCAAAACAACCUUUCCUGAAGAGUAGAACAUCAUUACCACUCCUUCUUUUAUUUCUGGUAGCUAUCAAAUUAUUUCGCUUACACAAAGCCAGUUCUUGGCCUGUAAAGUUUAUACCCUGAGGAAAAAUCACACACAAAGUACGGGACAUAUGACUAAAGACUAAAAUCACUUGUAUUUUAAUAUUGAACUUUUGACAUUAAAGAGUUAGUCUGUCAAUGAAUUAAUUGACAACACAUAUUUAAAGUCACAGUAGGAACACUGUUCUUCUGGACAAGGGUAUUGGAAUAAUGAUUUACUGCAUAAACUCACCUAAAUGAGUCUAAACUUGCAUUAUAUUCAUCCUUCUUGGAUACAAGCACACCUUUCAGUUAUACUGUACAGAAUAUAUUCCUUUGCAGUUCACUACGCAGGCUUAAUUUUCUAAUAGAGCAUCAUAGCUGACUGAGAUACCUCUUGGCUAAGCUUGAUAUUCCUACCAGACAAUCUGUGAAUAAAAGGGCACUGAGUUUGUUGUUAGUUCUAAUACUCACCAGGGCAACCCUUAAUUUGGGGGUUGUAUAAUGAAUGGAUAAAUUGACAAAAUCGUCCUGAAGUUGACCUAACAACUGCAGGUAAAAUACAGUUGGUACCCGAAUUCUCUUGCAUGUGAAAUUCCACUUGCUUUUCCUAGAGUCCAAAUGAUUAAGAUCAAAAUCUUUUUCCCAUCUGGGACAGCAGUUUUCUUUUUAAACAAACUAGCUGGAUCUCUUUAGGCCAAUUUCAUAACCUGUUUAUGAAAAUGUUCAGCAAGUCCUUGGAUUCUAAAAAACAGCAUUUUUCAAACGUGUUUGGACAAAGUAAAUAUUUUAUUACUGAAGAACUCCUGGCAAAGAAAAGAUGUUUUAGCUUUCCGUUUGCCUUGUUCCACUUAGUUGCUUAUAACGAGUUUCUUAGCUGUUAAGUCUAUUGACAUAUCUUUUCAAGGAACGUUUCUCUAUGUCACAUUAGUGACAUCAGAUUAGAUACCCUCCCUAGUGCAUUUGACUUAAAAAGCUGAGAAACAAUGUUUUUUACAGUCACUGGGUAAAACACCUCAUGGCACUGUGAAAAACAAGGGAGUAAUGCAAUUACUGCUCUGCUUUGCCCCACUGCGAGGGAGAUCUGUCAAAGUAUGAGGAAACAGGAGGAACGAGGAAGGAAGUGUGUUAGCAACCUUCUCCCAUUAACUCCUCCAUCCUCUUGCCAGUCCCGAUGCUGGCCUACGUACACCCGUAAGGUGUAAGAAAGACUGAAUGAUGACAGGGCUCAGCAGGGGAGCAGGAAACGGGAGAAAAUGGAGCCUAAGACGUAUUUCUAUGAAUAAGGGGUGCACUGCUUGGGGGGGGGUCUAUUGCCUGUGACUGUGUGCCUUUGCAGUUGCCUCAUUCCUCACCGGAGAGGACAGUGCAGUGACACUGAGCAUGCCUCAGCACCACCACAGGACCCAUGUAGAAAGGAGGACCAUUUCCCCAAUCCCAGGUCAUAUGGGGGCUGCGUGCAACUCUACUUGAUAUUCUUGACCUCAGCUGAAAGCAGCUUUGAAGAGUGCAGUCCUAGUGUCAUCAUAAGGACCAGGAAAGUUAAUUUGCUUAAAUUGUAAUAGUUCCUAUUUGUAUUAAGCAGGUAUUUGUACAUAGGCUUCUCUGCAAUAUGGAGGAGCAGCCUGUGUAUGUCACCAAACCCACCCGCCAAGCUUCUUUGUAAUGGGUGAUGUCUCUGAUGUUGGAAAUUCUACUCUACAGGUGUUAUGCUGUAAUAAAAUCUUGUUUUCUAAAUAGACAUAUUGAACUGCUCUCAAAUCCAUUUUCCACUUACAUUGAAUUUACUACCCUUUUCAUUUCAUUGAAUUUUAUCUUGUUGGAGCAUUCAAAAGUUAAUGUGUUUCUGAAGGAUUUUAAAUGGUUGUUGGACACCUUUUCCAAUGAAUCAGAGAUGAACAUGGAGUGAUAAAACUGCCUUUGGAGAAGUGAAAUUCUGAAUGACCUCAGGUGAAUACUUCAGCAAUGUUUGUUUUCAAAUGAGUGAAAACAGUGGUUACUUUCUGUAAUGCAAUGAUUUCCAGCUGUGAAUCUGACACACAGAACAAAGAGCUGAGAUAUCCUUAGACAAAUUAAUGCUGCUUCCAGAAGUGCUUUCCAAGUAAAGAGGUUUUGGGAGGGUGUUAUAUGUAUACUGAAAGUAUUUGUAUUGUAAUUGGAUUAUCUGUUUGUGCAGUGCUUAUAGGUCAUUUCCCCUGGAAACGUAAUGCAUUAGAAAAAAAGAUAUGUUACAAACAACAGUAGCAAAAUGUGCUCUUUAGCAAUUAGUAGCUGCAAGAGAUGAAAUAUUUGCUACGCUGAAGAUCACUGAGAUCAGUAUUUCACUAAGUUUUUUGUAUCCUAAGUCAACCACAAGACUUACUUAAAAUGACACAAUCAUAAGGGUCAUAUCUCAACUACUCUGACUGCAUUAUAAGUUUAACUGGUCUAUAGGUUGCUGUGCACAUAUUACACUUACAUCAGAAGACUCUAGCUGAUCUAGGUGAGAAGGUGGAAGCAACCUGCCCAAAGUAGCUUGAAACCUUUUUAUCCUGCUGAGAAUAUUAUGUGGAUCUAGCUUGGGCACGACUGCACACCACUAUAUGUGCAAGGUGAAAACAAGAGAGGAGCAUCUCCAGAGGGCUGGCAAAGUCUCACUGUGACAGGAGGAAAAUUGCUCUUUGUGAGUCCUGUGACUCCACUGAUACCAAAGGAAAAAAUCUCUUUAAAAAAGACAUAGAUAUUUUUGAAAUAUAUUUAUGUUUUAAAUUAAAAAUUACACUAGACAAAAUACAUUGGUGCCACUAUUAAUAACACAGUCUUAUUCAGUGAGAGUUCAGGUGAGCAGGCAAUGAUUUAUGAAAAUACCCUGUGGUCAGCCUGCUGACAACUUUGUCUAAAGAACUCCAACAGAAGUUGGUUUUCAGUGUAUUAGCCUUUUGUAAUCCUAGCCCAUGUAAUUGAUGUAGGGGCAGCACUGAAAAACUGAUGUGAUUGAUCUUAGUAUAGCUUAUCCCUGCAUCACCAACAUCAGAGGCAAACCUUAAUGACGGAUUUCUAGGGCCGCACAAACCGCUACACACCUAACUUCUUCUAAGUUAGACCCUUCCAUUUUUCUAUAUAUAUAUGAUAUGUAG